rnacentral:rRNA from 1 species
GACGAACGCUGGCGGCGUGCUUAACACAUGCAAGUCGAACGGAAAGGCCCUGCUUUUGUGGGGUGCUCGAGUGGCGAACGGGUGAGUAACACGUGAGUAACCUGCCCUUGACUUUGGGAUAACUUCAGGAAACUGGGGCUAAUACCGGAUAGGAGCUCCCGCUGCAUGGUGGGGGUUGGAAAGUUUCGGCGGGUGGGGAUGGACUCGCGGCUUAUCAGCUUGUUGGUGGGGUAGUGGCUUACCAAGGCUUUGACGGGUAGGCGGCCUGAGAGGGUGACCGGGCACAAGAGGACUGAGGUACGGAGCAGACUCCUACGGGGGGCAGCAGUGGCGAGUAUUGCACAAUGAGCGGGAGCCUGAUGCAGAAACGCCGCGUGCGGGAUGACGGCCUUCGGGGUGUAAACCGCUUUCGCCUAUGACGAAGCGUGAGUGACGGUAAUGGGUAAAGAAGCACCGGCUAACUACGUG